GCUUUGCUGUGGCUCAGUUGGCAGAGCAUUGCACGCUCAACGACAAAAUCGUGGGUUCAAAUCCCAGGAGAAGCG